AUGACGAGUGGCGGACGGGUGAGUAAUGCUUGGGAACUUGCCUUUGCGAGGGGGAUAACAGUUGGAAACGACUGCUAAUACCGCAUAAUGUCUUCGGACCAAACGGGGCUUCGGCUCCGGCGCAAAGAGAGGCCCAAGUGAGAUUAGCUAGUUGGUAAGGUAACGGCUUACCAAGGCGACGAUCUCUAGCUGUUCUGAGAGGAAGAUCAGCCACACUGGGACUGAGACACGGCCCAGACUCCUACGGGAGGCAGCAGUGGGGAAUAUUGCACAAUGAGGGAAACCUUGAUGCAGCCAUGCCGCGUGUGUGAAGAAGGCCCGAGGGUUGUAAAGCACUUUCAAUUGUGAGGAAGAUUAAGUAGCUAAUACCUGCUUAGUUUGACGUUAACUUUAGAAGAAGCACCGGCUAACUCUGUGCCAGCAGCCGCGGUAAUACAGAGGGUGCAAGCGUUAUUCGGAAUUACUGGGCGUAAAGCGCGCGUAGGCGGACUGUUAAGUCGGUUGUGAAAGCCCUG
rnacentral:rRNA from 1 species